UCCCCGUUACCGGGGCAGUCUGAAUAGAAAAAUACAACUAUCCACAGGGGUUGCGCUCGUUGAAGGACUUAACCUAACAUCUCACGACACGAGCUGACGACGGCCAUGCAACACCUGUCACCGAGUUCCGGCUCUCAAUACACAAUUUUAAAAAAUUCUGUACUCAGAGCCGGCACUCACUCCUUUCGGAGUGAUUCUCAGGAUGUCAAGUCUGGGUAAGGUUCUUGGCUUAGCAUCCAAUUAAACAACACGCUCCACCGCUUGUGCGGGUCCCCGUCAAUUCCUUUGAGUUUUAAUCUUGCGACCGUACUCCCCAGGUGGGAUGCUUAACGCGUUAGCUUCGCUACUGAACGGGUCGAUACGUCCAACAGCUAGCAUCCAUAGUUUACGGCGUGGACUA
rnacentral:misc_RNA from 1 species